rnacentral:tRNA from 1 species
GUGGUUAUAGCUCAGCAGGUUAGAGCGUCGGAUUGUGGUUCCGAAGGUCGCCGGUUCGAACCCGGUUAGCCACCCCA